UUAAGAUUUUGUAUUGCUCAAUUUAAGUUCAAUAAGUAACAUAGAUCACAAAGUUUGCUAAUUUAUAUUGAUGCUUUAAGACUCCUUACAUGAUGUUUACGCAACACACCCGAGGUCAAAGUUCGUAUAUAUUAAAAUGCAACAAUGUGUAUAGUUCGUUAUUGAGGAUAAUGUAUAGAUUAUUUUACAUAGGGAAAGAUAUUUAUACGCUAUAGUUAAUUGUAACUGUUUAAUUUCAACUUAUGUUUACAUUAAAUGACAUCCUUAAGCCAACUUUACUAAUAUUGAUCGCUAUUUUCGUGUUAUACAGCUAUAAUCAUCUUGUUGUUAAAGAUUUGAAGCUUUGCUGCGAUAAUACAGCAGAGAAUUAUUCUCAUUAUGAUUUGGUCGUUGGAAUACUUUCAUCGCGCGGCAACUUUGAUUUGAGGCAAAGUUUACGUGAAUCAUGGGUUGGCUAUGCAAGACGACAUUCAUCUCUAAAUAAAAGAUUCUCCGGGGAAGAGAGUCGUGACAAAAGAGGAAGAAGAAACUCGAAUGUCGGAGUGGCAGAGAUUGAAAGACGAUGAGAAUGAACGUUUACUUAAAGAAAGCAGAACUAUUUCUGAUAUUCUUUUUGUUUCAAAUGUCGAUGUUUACAGAAAUCUUCCAUCCCAGUUGCUUCAGUUUUUCUCGUGGCUCUCGGCGACUUUAAGUUUUUCCUUUGUAAUGAAAACUGACGAUGAUUGUUUUGUUAACCUGGAGACCAUCUUACAGCAAUCCAGUAUCAGACUCUCUUAAAUUAUUUGCUGAAAAUGAAAUGAUGCUUACCGUAUCAUGGCAAUGAUAGCGAGACGAAACUUGGCGUAAGUUAUUUCCUUUGGGAAAUUCAAACUACCCGAAGACACUUGCCUUUGUACAUAUGCAACAUAAUAUUUGUACAUAGGUAAACUGAACAAGAAUAAAAA